UCAUCCAGCCUUAUCACCCUGCAACUCACAACUGGCAACCCACUGAAGCUCAGCAGGUGUGAGCCUGGUCAGUACCUGGAUGGGAGACCUCCUGGGAAAAACUAAGGUUGCUGCUGGAA
ensembl:rRNA 5S_rRNA 5S ribosomal RNA